rnacentral:rRNA from 1 species
GCCAGCGGUAAUAGCAUGUUGAAUGCACCAGUUCCCAUGGAUCACUGAAGUUAAGCAACGUUUUGCGUGGUCAGUAUCCGGAUGAGGAUCCGACCCAACGGAUCACACUGCAGCAA